rnacentral:tRNA from 1 species
CGGCGUAUAGCGCAGCUUGGUAGCGCACUACCUUGGGGUGGUAGGGGUCGUGGGUUCAAAUCCCGCUACGCCGACAA